rnacentral:rRNA from 1 species
CCUACGGGUGGCAGCAGUGAGGAAUAUUGGUCAAUGGGCGCGAGCCUGAACCAGCCAAGUAGCGUGAAGGAUGACUGCCCUACGGGUUGUAAACUUCUUUUAUCAGGGAAUAAAGAGAGGCACGUGUGCCUUUUUGUAUGUACUUUAUGAAUAAGCAUCGGCUAACUCCGUGCCAGCAGCCGCGGUAAUACGGAGGAUCCGAGCGUUAUCCGGAUUUAUUGGGUUUAAAGGGAGCGUAGAUGGGUUGUUAAGUCAGUUGUGAAAGUUUGCGGGGCAACCGUAAAAUUGCAAUUGAUACUGGCAGUCUUGAGUAGAGGUGAGGUAUGCGGAAUGCGUGGUGUAGCGGUGAAAUGCUUAGAUAUCACGAAGAACUCCGAUUGCGAAGGCAGCAUACUAAACUGCCACUGACAUUGAUGCUCGAAAGUGUGGGGAUCAAACAGGAUUAGAUACCCCUGUAGUC